rnacentral:rRNA from 2 species
UUUUACUAUGGAGAGUUUGAUCCUGGCUCAGGAUGAACGCUAGCGGCAGGCCUAAUACAUGCAAGUCGGACGGGAUUCAAUAGCUUGCUAUUGAUGAGAGUGGCGCACGGGUGCGUAACGCGUGAGCAACCUGCCCAUAUCAGGGGGAUAGCCCGGAGAAAUCCGGAUUAACACCGCAUAACACAGUUUUCUGGCAUCAGU